GUACGUGCUGGACGAACCGUCGGCGGGUUUGCACCCCGCCGAUGCCGAACCGCUGCUCGAUGUGCUGGAUCGGCUUCGGCGCGCGGGCA
rnacentral:tRNA from 1 species